AUUGAACGCUGGCGGCAUGCUUUACACAUGCAAGUCGAGCGGUAACAGGCCUUCGGGUGCUGACGAGUGGCUAACGGGUGAGUAAUGCAUCGGAACGUACCCAGAGGUGGGCGAUAACGCAGCGAAAGCUGUGCUAAUACCGCAUGUGAUCUGAGGAUGAAAGCGGGGGACCGAGCAGCAAUGUUUGGCCUCGCGCCUUUGGAGCGGCCGAUGUCGGAUUAGCUAGUUGGGGGGGUAAAGGCCUACCAAGGCGACGAUCCGUAGCUGGUCUGAGAGGACGGCAGGCCACACUGGGACUGAGCCACGGCCCAGACUCCUACGAGAGGCAGCAGUGGGGAAUUUUGGACAGUGGGCGCAAGCCUGAUCCAGCAAUGCCGCGUGCGGGAAGAAGGCCUUCGGGUUGUAAAGCGCUUUUGGCAGGAACGAAACGGUGUCCGCUAAUACCGGGCGCUAAUGACGGUACCUGCAGAAUAAGCACCGGCUAACUACGUG
rnacentral:rRNA from 1 species